rnacentral:sRNA from 1 species
CAUGCCCCUUAUACGCUGGGCUACACACGUGCUACAAUGGGUAGUACAGAGAGUCGCAAAGCCGCGAGGUGGAGCUAAUCUCAGAAAACUAUUCUUAGUUCGGAUUGUACUCUGCAACUCGAGUACAUGAAGUUGGAAUCGCUAGUAAUCGCGAAUCAGCAAUGUCGCGGUGAAUACGUUCUCGGGUCUUGUACACACCGCCCGUCACACCACGAGAGUUGGUUGCACCUGAAGUAGCAGGCCUAACCGUAAGGAGGGAUGCUCCGAGGGUGUGAUUAGCGAUUGGGGUGAAGUCGUAACAAGGUAUCCGUACGGGAACGUGCGGAUGGAUCACCUCCUUCCUAAGGAGAAUGUGUCUUUCUCUAUUCUAUUGGUAAUGUUCUUAGAACAUUGCGCUGAACAUUGGAAACUAUAUAGUAGAACAAACAAGAAAACAAAAAUUAACUCUAACAAUUUCUUAGAGUUAGCUGUCAAAAAAAUAGGUUAAAAUAAUUAAGGGCACACAAAGGAUGCCUAGGUAGUAAGAGCCGAUGAAGGACGUGGUAAGCUGCGAUAAGCCUAG